rnacentral:misc_RNA from 1 species
GGGAAUUUGAAGUUUGCGGGCGAGGGAUUCAGUCCAUCCGAGGAAGAAAUCAGAAAUAAUGGCGGAGGGAGGUGAAGGGUGAGAUUUGAACCACUCAAGAACAGGGUCUUGGAGUUGGCGGAGAGCCACCAUGAUGGGGACGUUGCCUUGGCCGCCGAUGUCUUUGACAUUUUCAACACCGGGAGGCAAAUCAGGGACAGAAGGGAAAGGGAGAACAAGGGUUUGAACUAAAGGGUGAGCUGAAAGAAGGGGUUGAAGGAUGGGGAGGUUUUUGGGGGUUACCAAAAUAGUGAUGGUGAAGCCAUAAGAAGCUAAGAAAUGGGUGAGAUCGAGGAGUGGGAGCAUAUGGCCUUGAGCUGGGUAUGGGAAAACC